GACGAACGCUGGCGGCGUGCUUAACACAUGCAAGUCGAGCGGUAAGGCCUUUCGGGGUACACGAGCGGCGAACGGGUGAGUAACACGUGGGUGAUCUGCCCUGCACUUCGGGAUAAGCCUGGGAAACUGGGUCUAAUACCGGAUAUGACCUCCUAUCGCAUGGUGGGUGGUGGAAAGAUUUAUCGGUGCAGGAUGGGCCCGCGGCCUAUCAGCUUGUUGGUGGGGUAAUGGCCUACCAAGGCGACGACGGGUAGCCGACCUGAGAGGGUGACCGGCCACACUGGGAAUGAGACACGGCCCAAACUCCUACGGGAGGCAGCAGUGGGGAAUAUUGCAGAAUGGGCGAAGGCCUGAGGCAGCGACGCCGCGUGAGGGAUGACGGCCUUCGGGUUGUAAACCUCUUUCAGCAGGGACGAAGCGCAAGUGACGGUACCUGCAGAAGAAGCACCGGCUAACUACGUG
rnacentral:rRNA from 1 species